CUAAUACAUGCAAGUCGAGCGGACAGAAGGGAGCUUGCUCCCGGAUGUUAGCGGCGGACGGGUGAGUAACACGUGGGUAACCUGCCUGUAAGACUGGGAUAACUCCGGGAAACCGGAGCUAAUACCGGAUAGUUCCUUGAACCGCAUGGUUCAAGGAUGAAAGACGGUUUCGGCUGUCACUUACAGAUGGACCCGCGGCGCAUUAGCUAGUUGGUGGGGUAAUGGCUCACCAAGGCGACGAUGCGUAGCCGACCUGAGAGGGUGAUCGGCCACACUGGGACUGAGACACGGCCCAGACUCCUACGGGAGGCAGCAGUAGGGAAUCUUCCGCAAUGGACGAAAGUCUGACGGAGCAACGCCGCGUGAGUGAUGAAGGUUUUCGGAUCGUAAAGGCUCUGUUGUUAGGGAAGAACAAGUGCGAGAGUAACUGCUCGCACCUUGACGGUACCUAACCAGAAAGCCACGGCUAACUACGUGCCAGCAGCCGCGGUAAUACGUAGGUGGCAAGCGUUGUCCGGAAUUAUUGGGCGUAAAGGGCUCGCAGGCGGUUUCUUAAGUCUGAUGUGAAAGCCCCCGGCUCAACCGGGGAGGGUCAUUGGAAACUGGGAAACUUGAGUGCAGAAGAGGAGAGUGGAAUUCCACGUGUAGCGGUGAAAUGCGUAGAGAUGUGGAGGAACACCAGUGGCGAAGGCGACUCUCUGGUCUGUAACUGACGCUGAGGAGCGAAAGCGUGGGGAGCGAACAGGAUUAGAUACCCUGGUAGUCCACGCCGUAAACGAUGAGUGCUAAGUGUUAGGGGGUUUUCCGCCCCUUAGUGCUGCAGCUAACGCAUUAAGCACUCCGCCUGGGGAGUA
rnacentral:rRNA from 1 species